GUCACUUUGUCUUUAUGGCAAAUGUGAGAUGCAGUGUAUGGAACAUCUUAAAUCUAGUAUGAGAAAUUAACGAUUUAAGUCCUUCUUAAAUGAGGCCAUUUACCCAUAGAGGGUGCCAGGCCCGUAUAACGUUAAUGAUUACUAGAAGAUGUUUCCAAAGAGUCGUGUUGCUUGAUAGUGCAGCACUAAGUGGGUGGUAAACUCCAUCUAAAACUAAAUAUAACCAUGAGACCGAUAGUAAACAAGUACCGUGAGGGAAAGUUGAAAAGAACUCUGAAUAGAGAGUUAAAUAGUACGUGAAACUGCUUAGAGGUUAAGCCCGAUGAACCUGAAUAUCCAUUAUGGAAAAUUCAUCAUUAUGAUUGUAAUAUCUAAACAAUAUUAUAAUAAUAGUGUGCAUUUUUUCCAUAUAAGGACAUUGUAAUCUAUUAACAUCUAUUUAUCAAAAGAUCAUUUGCUUAUGUUUAUUCAAAUUAGUUUGCUUGCAAGUUAACAUAGAAUAAAUGCUUAUGAUUUGAUAAAGUGUUGAUAGAUUUUAUUAUAUAUAGUGCUUAAAUUCUUUGAAUUUUAUAAUGGCAUUGGAAUCAUGAUUUCAGUGUUUAUUAUAUGCGCUUAUAUGAUUAACAAUGCG
rnacentral:rRNA from 1 species